AGAGUUUGAUCAUGGCUCAGAUUGAACGCUGGCGGCAGGCCUAACACAUGCAAGUCGAACGGUAACAGGAAACAGCUUGCUGUUUCGCUGACGAGUGGCGGACGGGUGAGUAAUGUCUGGGAAACUGCCUGAUGGAGGGGGAUAACUACUGGAAACGGUAGCUAAUACCGCAUAACGUCGCAAGACCAAAGAGGGGGACCCUCGGGCCUCUUGCCAUCGGAUGUGCCCAGAUGGGAUUAGCUUGUUGGUGGGGUAACGGCUCACCAAGGCGACGAUCCCUAGCUGGUCUGAGAGGAUGACCAGCCACACUGGAACUGAGACACGGUCCAGACUCCUACGGGAGGCAGCAGUGGGGAAUAUUGCACAAUGGGCGCAAGCCUGAUGCAGCCAUGCCGCGUGUAUGAAGAAGGCCUUCGGGUUGUAAAGUACUUUCAGCGGGAGGAAGGGAGUAAAGUUAAUACCUUUGCUCAUUGACGUUACCCGCAGAAGAAGCACCGGCUAACUCCGUGCCAGCAGCCGCGGUAAUACGGUGGGUGCAAGCGUUAAUCGGAAUUACUGGGCGUAAAGCGCACGCAGGCGGUUUGUUAAGUCAGAUGUGAAAUCCCCGGGCUCAACCUGGGAACUGCAUCUGAUACUGGCAAGCUUGAGUCUCGUAGAGGGGGGUAGAAUUCCAGGUGUAGCGGUGAAAUGCGUAGAGAUCUGGAAGAAUACCGGUGGCGAAGGCGGCCCCCUGGACGAAGACUGACGCUCAGGUGCGAAAGCGUGGGGAGCAAACAGGAUUAGAUACCCUGGUAGUCCACGCCGUAAACGAUGUCGACUUGGAGGUUGUGCCCUUGAGGCGUGGCUUCCGGAGCUAACGCGUUAAGUCGACCGCCUGGGGAGUACGGCCGCAAGGUUAAAACUCAAAUGAAUUGACGGGGGCCCGCACAAGCGGUGGAGCAUGUGGUUUAAUUCGAUGCAACGCGAAGAACCUUACCUGGUCUUGACAUCCACGGAAGUUUUCAGAGAUGAGAAUGUGCCUUCGGGAACCGUGAGACAGGUGCUGCAUGGCUGUCGUCAGCUCGUGUUGUGAAAUGUUGGGUUAAGUCCCGCAACGAGCGCAACCCUUAUCCUUUGUUGCCAGCGGUCCGGCCGGGAACUCAAAGGAGACUGCCAGUGAUAAACUGGAGGAAGGUGGGGAUGACGUCAAGUCAUCAUGGCCCUUACGACCAGGGCUACACACGUGCUACAAUGGCGCAUACAAAGAGAAGCGACCUCGCGAGAGCAAGCGGACCUCAUAAAGUGCGUCGUAGUCCGGAUUGGAGUCUGCAACUCGACUCCAUGAAGUCGGAAUCGCUAGUAAUCGUGGAUCAGAAUGCCACGGUGAAUACGUUCCCGGGCCUUGUACACACCGCCCGUCACACCAUGGGAGUGGGUUGCAAAAGAAGUAGGUAGCUUAACCUUCGGGAGGGCGCUUACCACUUUGUGAUUCAUGACUGGGGUGAAGUCGUAACAAGGUAACCGUAGGGGAACCUGCGGUUG
rnacentral:rRNA from 1 species